rnacentral:rRNA from 1 species
ACGUAGGGGGCGAGCGUUAUCCGGAAUUAUUGGGCGUAAAGGGUGCGUAGGUGGUCUGAUAAGCGUGGGGUGAAAGGCAAUAGCUUAACUAUUGUAAGCCUUGCGAACUGUCAGACUUGAGUGCAGGAGAGGAAAGUGGAAUUCCUAGUGUAGCGGUGAAAUGCGUAGAUAUUAGGAGGAACACCAGUGGCGAAGGCGACUUUCUGGACUGUAACUGACACUGAGGCACGAAAGCGUGGGGAGCAAACAG